GAAAAUUUAGUUAAGUUUAUAAUAUCAGCUUGUCAUGCUGGAAUCACCUCCCAGGUAAUUUUCU
rnacentral:tRNA from 1 species